UGGGGAAUAUUGCGCAAUGGGGGAAACCCUGACGCAGCAAUGCCGCGUGAGUGAGGAAGGAUUUCGGUCUGUAAAGCUCUGUUAAUGUGGAAGAAUGAGACGUGGUCUAAUAGGCCAUGUAAGUGACGGUACACAUAGAGGAAGCACCGGCUAACUUCGUGCCAGCAGCCGCGGUAAUACGAAGGGUGCAAGCGUUGUUCGGAUUUAUUGGGCGUAAAGCGCGCGCAGGCGGACCUGUAAGUCAGAUGUGAAAUCUCGGGGCUCAACUCCGAAACUGCGUCUGAAACUACAGGUCUAGAAUCUCGGAGAGGGAUGGGGUAUUUCACAUGUAGGGGUAAAAUCCGUAGAUAUGUGAAGGAACACCAGAGGCGAAGGCGCCAUCCUGGACGAGUAUUGACGC
rnacentral:rRNA from 1 species